CAAUUCCACUUAAUCUUAAUUCUGAAUUGCUGGUCAGCAAUGGAAACGGAGGAGCUUUGGAUGAUAGCAAGAAGAGCAGAUUGUCCAAGGGAUUGGUACCUGUGAAUGUCAAUAAACCUAUUGAGCAGUUUUACUGUCCUGCAUGCAAAGAAGUUUCUGGUGACAUCAAAUGGUACCAAGGCCUGCCGGCCCUGAUAUCACAUGCCAAAGACACUGAAGAUGGGGGUAAACUCCACUGGAAACUCGCACAUCUGUUGACAACGAACUUCAGCAAAAAGGGAACUUCUGAAAGUUCUGCUGGUGAAGUGUUGAGCAAAUGGAAAGGUCUAAACGAUGAGAAGAAAGAUCAUGAGAUCGUUUGGCCUCCUAUGGUUGUUGUUAGGAAUACAGCAAGCCUUAAAAAAGACGAGAACAAUAAGGUACAAUCAUGUUUUCUCCCUCGGAUAUGGCAUGAAACGAUGACAAGAGUGGUAGUUUGUGUUUGUAACUGAAACAUUAUUUCUGAUUAUGAUCUAAUCAAGUGUUUGCUUGUAUCAAAUUAAAUUUCAGCGGAGUGGCAUAGCAGAUCAGGAACUCCUUGACUUGUUCAGCUCAUAUGAUGCUAUCGAGAAGGUUCAACAAGCAUACAAUUCGGAUGGACAUUGUGGUAUGAGUAUUUUGAUUUUUGAGUGCUCAACAAGAGGGUAUUUAGAGGCAGAGCGCCUGGAUAGACAUUUUGCAGAUCAAGGAACAGGUAGAAAUGUUUGGAAUGAAAGUCCAAUCUACCUCCUACGAAGUGGGGAGCUCCAACUUCACGGUUACAUGGCCGAGAAAAAGGACGUGUAUCUCUUCAACAUGUAUUCAACAGGUUUUGUCUGCUUGAAAUGAAUUUUUUUUUUUAACAUAAUCAUUCUGCCAACAGAUCAUAUAAUAACAUGUUGUGUAAAUUGGUCUGUAGGUGAACCCAAGCUGAAAUGUGAAAUCAGAUCAUACCAAGAGAUGAUUGUGAACCGGAUCAGGCAAAUGAGUGAGGACAAUCACCAGAUUAUCUGGCUGAACAACAGGGUAGCUGAAGAACAAAGGCAUCGAGAACUUCUUGAAAAAUCAAAUGGCAUAAUGAGGGAGAGCCUGAAAAAGGCAAGGAAGGAGAUUGAUAUUUUGAGAAAGAAAAUUAAAUUGCAGCAUAAACAGAACAUGGAAGAGGUGAUAGUUGCCAAUGCUUCUGAACUUUAUGUCUUGGUUAAUGUAAAUCAGAACCUUGACCUUUUACUUUCUUUUACUGAUAGUUCUGCGGUUAAAUAAUCACCGCUAUCCAUGAAACUACGUUAAUUAUUCAUGAUGAGUUACUUUCAUAUUCCUGACCUGAUACUUGGCGGUAGGGUAGUACCUUUUAAUCCUUUAUCUGCAUGCCCCUUCAGCUAUUUUGACUGAUCUUAACAAUUCUUUUCUUAAGAUGGAUUUUCAAGGACAAAUUUUCAAGGACAGCCAAAUAAAGAUUAUUCUUGAAGAAAGAGGUAAGAAGGGAGGGGAUCUUAAGAGGAGCAUGAAAAUGUCCGUGAAUCGAAUGGAAGUCCUUCAAAUACUCAGGAUGAAAAAUACAGGUACAUAACUGGCAUCUUGAUUGCAAAAUAUAAAUCUCAUAUUUUCCUUUCAGUAAGGUUAUCUUCAUUCCAUCAUUUCUUGCUACAGAGUGCAAGAAACUGCCAAGUUCGAAGAGAAUGAAGUGAAGGAAAAGGAAGCAUCUGACACAGGUCAGCUACUAGAAGAACAUGGAGGACAAGAUGCACUCAAGGAAGAAAAGUGUGAAUCAUCUACAAGUACCUGUGAGAUUUGCCUGGAAAGGAAACAAACUGAUCAGAUCAUAAGAAAUGAGACCUCUGGUCAGAUAUUUUGCUUAGGCUGCAGGUCAGUAUGUUUUAGAUAUGAGAAUAUCCUACAUUAAAUACUUUGUCAAGAUUUUAUUACUGCCAGUAUGUCUUUAUUAUAUGAGCUUGUUGAUGAUGUAACUAAAUUAAGCUUUUUACAUACCAACAGGUCUUUGUCAAGUAGAACUUUACUGUGUAAAGUAGUGAGGAGACCUAACUAUUUUACUGAUAAACUGAUAACGAAUUAGAAUUUACCAUUGAAUGCUAAGGUCUAAACAUCAUUAUAGCUUGAAUAUAGACAAACAAUAUCCUCACAAAGGAUUUCUGACAAUUUUCCACUUUCCAGUCAGACUUUACGAAUGAAUUCCAGGAGUGAUGCUUCUUAAAAUCUCCACAUUUAGUCAGCAAUAAUUCACAUAAAGGGAAAGAGAUAUAUGAACUUCUUUUUCUAUUAUUAAAAAGAAUGAGUUACUGAGAUUCAGGUUCAUUACUUAAUUACUUGGUUUUUUUUCAUUAACUGCUGUGUUCUAAGUUUCGACUAAUUUUUUGCUUACAACAACUGGACAGCAAAACUGUCAAUUUGUCCGAAAAUCAAUGGUCAUGCAGCAAAGAGUUGAGUAUGGACAAGGGUUCUAGAAAUGACGCUGGCAAGCCUCUUACUGCUGAUGCCAGUGGCAGCAAUAAUAACCCAAGUCCCAAUACUGAAACAGAACCAGUUAGUCGUGGUAAAGCGAAAAUUAUUAGUCUCAAUUCAACACGAUAUGAGUAUAUGAAAAGAGCUGAAAGCAUUGCUGCAAAACCGGUGGGUACUCUACAGAGUCCCAAUACUAAAGCACAGGAAGAUAAAGGUGUGGAUCAGAAUUCAGACGUUCCACUUAAUCUUAAUUCUGAAUUGCUGGUCAGCAAUGGAAACGGAGGAGCUUUGGAUGAUAGCAAGAAGAGCAGAUUGUUCAAGGGAGUGGUACCUGUGAAUGUCAAUAAACCUAUUGAGCAGUUUUACUGUCCUGCAUGCAAAGAAGUUUCUGGUGCCAUCAAAUGGUACCAAGGCCUGCCGGCCCUGAUAUCACAUGCCAAAGACACCG
rnacentral:lncRNA from 1 species